rnacentral:ncRNA from 1 species
ACUCGUAGUUGGAUCUGGAUCGUGCGUUCGCAUUCCUCUAUUUGUUCACGAUUUUGGUUAAGAUCAGGACGUGUUCAUCCCAUUGUAGUGGCUGUGCAGCCUUUCAGCCGUGUCUAUGUUAAAUGGGUGCUGGUGGGUUGAUGAUUUCGUCUUGUUGAUCUAUUGGCAUGCUUUCGGAUGCCUUUAAAAGGGUGUCGAAAGCGGACAGCAUCUUUACUUUGAACAAAUUGGAGUGCUUAAAGUAGGUCUGUGCGCCUAAAACUUUCUGCAUGGAAUAAUGAAAUAGGACUUUGGUUCUACUUUGUUGGUUUUUGGAUUCGAAGGACAGACGGGGGCAUUUGUACGGUGGUGUUAGAGAUGAAGUUCUGGGAUCGACGCCAGACAAACUACAUCGAAAGCAUUUACCAAGAAUGUUUUAAUUGAUCAGGAGCGAACGUCAGAGUUUUGAAGACGAUCAAAUACCGUCGUAUUUCUGAUCAUAAACGAUGCCAACUGAAGAUCCGCGUUGAUUCUAUAGUUGACAUCGCGAGCAGUCCGCGGUAAAAACGAAGCGGA